rnacentral:rRNA from 1 species
UGGGGAAUAUUGGACAAUGGGGGCAACCCUGAUCCAGCCAUGCCGCGUGAGUGAUGAAGGCCUUCGGGUUGUAAAGCUCUUUUGGCGGGGACGAUGAUGACGGUACCCGCAGAAUAAGCCCCGGCUAACUUCGUGCCAGCAGCCGCGGUAAGACGAAGGGGGCUAGCGUUGUUCGGAAUUACUGGGCGUAAAGCGAGUGUAGGCGGUUGCCGUAGUCAGGUGUGAAAGCCUUGAGCUCAACUCAAGAAAUGCACUUGAUACUGGGUGACUAGAGGACCGGAGAGGAUAGUGGAAUUCCCAGUGUAGUGGUGAAAUACGUAGAGAUUGGGAAGAACACCAGUGGCGAAGGCGGCUAUCUGGACGGUUACUGACGCUAAGACUCGAAAGCGUGGGGAGCAAAACAGGAUUAGAUACCCUGGUAGUCCACGCCGUAAACGAUGGGUGCUAGACGUUGGCGAGCUUGCUCGUCAGUGUCGCAGCUAACGCGUUAAGCACCCCGCCU